GGGUAGUUUGACUGGGGCGGUCUCCUCCUAAAGAGUAACGGAGGAGCACGAAGGUUGGCUAAUCCUGGUCGGACAUCAGGAGGUUAGUGCAAUGGCAUAAGCCAGCUUGACUGCGAGCGUGACGGCGCGAGCAGGUGCGAAAGCAGGUCAUAGUGAUCCGGUGGUUCUGAAUGGAAGGGCCAUCGCUCAACGGAUAAAAGGUACUCCGGGGAUAACAGGCUGAUACCGCCCAAGAGUUCAUAUCGACGGCGGUGUUUGGCACCUCGAUGUCGGCUCAUCACAUCCUGGGGCUGAAGUAGGUCCCAAGGGUAUGGCUGUUCGCCAUUUAAAGUGGUACGCGAGCUGGGUUUAGAACGUCGUGAGACAGUUCGGUCCCUAUCUGCCGUGGGCGCUGGAGAACUGAGGGGGGCUGCUCCUAGUACGAGAGGACCGGAGUGGACGCAUCACUGGUGUUCGGGUUGUCAUGCCAAUGGCACUGCCCGGUAGCUAAAUGCGGAAGAGAUAAGUGCUGAAAGCAUCUAAGCACGAAACUUGCCCCGAGAUGAGUUCUCCCUGAGACUUAGAGUCUCCUGAAGGAACGUUGAAGACGACGACGUUGAUAGGCCGGGUGUGUAAGCGCAGCGAUGCGUUGAGCUAACCGGUACUAAUGAACCGUGAGG
rnacentral:rRNA from 1 species